rnacentral:rRNA from 1 species
GCAUGAAGCCGGAAUCGCUAGUAAUCGCGGAUCAGAAUGCCGCGGUGAAUACGUUCCCGGGUCUUGUACACACCGCCCGUCACACCAUGGGAGUCGAUAACGCCCGAAGUCAGUGACCCAACCGAGAGGAGGGAGCUGCCGAAGGCGGGAUUGAUAACUGGGGUGAAGUCGUAACAAGGUACC